rnacentral:rRNA from 1 species
GACGAACGCUGGCGGCGUGCUUAACACAUGCAAGUCGAGCGGAGCGGCGAACGGGCGAGUAACGCGUGAGUAACUGCCCCCCUCUCUGGGAUAACAGUUGGAAACGGCUGCUAAUACCGGAUAGUUGGGGAUGACUCGCGUCCUAUCAGCUUGUUGGUGGGGUAGUGGCCUACCAAGGCGACGACGGGUAGCCGGCCUGGGAGGGGGACCGGCCACAUUGGUCUGAGAGACGGCCCAAACUCGUACGUGGGGCAGCGGGGGGGAAUAUUGCACAAUGGGGGAAAGCCUGAUGCAGCGACGCGCGGGCGUGAUGACGGCCUUCGGGUUGUAAACCGCUUUCAGCCAAGACGCGGUAGUGGCAGAAGAAGCACCGGCUAACUACGUGCCAGCAGCCGCGGUAAUAC